rnacentral:tRNA from 1 species
CUAGAAGUAGCUUAAGUUAAAGUUUAGGAUUCUUGAUUCUGCGAUGUUUGUGAUAAACUUUCUAGA